GCUUAGAGAGGGGUCAAUGUCCUAUCAGCUAGUUGGUAGGGUAAUGGCCUACCAAGGCUAAGACGGGUAGCCGGCCUGAGAGGGUGGUCGGCCACACUGGGACUGAGACACUGCCCAGACUCCUACGGGAGGCUGCAGUCGAGAAUCUUUCGCAAUGCCCGAAAGGGUGACGAAGCGACGCCGCGUGUGGGAAGAAGGCCUUCGGGUUGUAAACCACUGUCGGGAGUUAAGAAAUGUAAGGGUGUUAAUAGCAUCCUUACUUGACUAAGGCUCCGGAGGAAGCCGCGGCUAACUCUGUGCCAGCAGCCGCGGUAAUACAGAGGCGGCAAGCGUUGUUCGGAAUUAUUGGGCGUAAAGAGCACGUAGGCGGCCUUGUAAGUCAGUUGUGAAAGCCUUCUGCUUAACGGAAGAACAGCAUCUGAUACUGCAAGGCUAGAGUACGGAAGGG
rnacentral:rRNA from 1 species